CUCAUCGCCAGUGACUUUGGCUCUCGUACGGAUCUGCACGAUCUGGCUACGGCUAGUGUUGUGCGUCCGUAUAGGUGUCCGAGGUCGUCGGUGUGCACUUCUCCUCUAGUAGGACGUCGCGACCCGUUGGGUGUCGGCCUACGGCCCGAUCGGUUGGCUGACGCGUCGCCUUCGGGCGUUCCCGUGUCAGACACCGUUGGUUGCCCGGCCGACUGCUCGGCGGUAUAGAAUGCUUUAACACGGUAUUGAGCCGCACUUAAGUGCGUUCGGCUCGUCGGCAGUCGCACAUCGUGCGGAUUUACGGACUUUAGUGCCGUUGCCGUUGCGUUGUGGGGCUAUCAGUCGACGAUGUCCUCGGACUGGCUCGUAACAUUCGAAUGGAUAUACCGGUCGGCGACGCUACUGCUUUGGGUACUUUCAGGACCCGUCUUGAAACACGGACCAAGGAGUCUAACAUGUGCGCGAGUCAUUGGGACACGUAAGCC
rnacentral:rRNA from 1 species